CAUUUUCUCAGCGCCACCUGUAUAAAUUACCAGACUGCUUUCCAAUCCAGGAGAGGCUGGAGAUAUGGAUAUAAGGGAUGAGCCACCUGCCUUUAAUUGGAAGUAGACCCAGGGUGAGAAAAAGAAGCAACCAUAUAAAAUUCUCUAAAGUGCAUCUGGGGAGGUGCAAGAGUUAACAGGUAACUUAAUGACACUGUACUAUCCAAUGUCCAAAUUUGAUUACUUUUAAAUGAAAAAUGUCAAACUGAUCUCAGUUGGACUGUGUGAAAUGAUAACCAUAUUACUCCUACCCUUAGGACAACAUAAUUCAUGACAAAAACAUUAUAUAAAAAUGGUAGUAUAUCCUUCCCUCAGGAAACCAGAGAGACGGCACCGGCCCUGAUCGCUGACAGUGGAGAUCAGUACGCAUAGAAUAUCAGUCUUCGUUGUCAACAGAGGCAAUGGAAUCCUAUGGAAUAGGAGCAGAAGAGUUUGAGGAAUGGUUUUUGAACUGAAGCAAGGCAGAGCAUGUGGUGUGGGGAACUCAUUUCUGGCAAGAUCUGAUGAAGGUGAUCAUAAGAUUUAAUCUGUUUAUACAGACACAUACUGUAUGUAUCUUUAUAUAUAAAAAGAUGCAUAUGUAUACAUAUAUAUCUGUAUAAACAUAUAUCUCUUUAUAUGAAUAUAUAUACAGAAAUAUGUAUAUUUAGUGUAUUAGUUUUACUGGAUUGCAUACAAUGAAAUAUAUUUUUUCAUAUUUCUCUCUAUAUAUUUUAAAUAUAUAUAUUCAUUGUAGCAAUCCAGUAAAAGUAGUAUAUCCUAAAACUAGUGAUCUAUUCAAUAUUCAAGCAUGUAUUAUUCAGUUUUAGAUAGCCAAAAUCUCUGUUGUGACAAUAUUCUUACCUAAUAUUAAUAUUUUAUUACAUGGGUAUGAUUGCUUGAGAUCAGUGAGAUUAUGGAUGGCUCACAUUAACUUAUCAACUGUCAGAGUAGAAAAAGAAUAUAGGCUUUGGCUUCAGAAAAAAAUCUGCCAAGUUUCAACAUCUAAGAUGUGGUACAACCAGAAAGAUUCUACAAUCAUAAUGAAAGCCUUGAUAUUAGAAACUUCAAUUUCUGUCAUAUUGUGCUAAGGAUUUAGGUAUUUAUAUUACCUGCUCAGUAUUCGGGCUUUUGCUAUAGAGGAACGUAACUACUGAAGGAUUUAAGCAGAAAGUGACAGGAUCAUGUGUGCUUUUCAAAAGAUCACUUGGGAAUCUAUAUGGAGAUCCCUGGAAAGCAUUCAGAGGAAGAUCGUCAUUUAUGUAAUGAUUCACCAAACUCAAUUAGAAAGAGUAAGAACCUGAAAUAAGGUAGCAGUAGGAGAGACAUACAGAAAUGUGCACAAGUAUGAGUUCUUAAGAAGGUAUGGUGGAAGGCAUUUAUUCACACGUGAGGGUGUGAAAAUGGUGUUGACAUAGGAAAAAUAAAGAACUCAACCCAAAUAUUUUACUUAAAUUGGAAACCUUGAAUGUUAGAGAUAAUGCCUUGGGCCUAUCAAACCCUUUUCCUCUUCGGUACACAAGUAGACUGCAUUUCCCAGGCUUCUGUGUACUUGUCUGAAGCCACAGGAGGGAGUUCUAACCAAUAUAAUUGGCUGGAAGUACGUAUUCUACUUUCAGAUAUGGAAAAAAAAAUAAAAACAAAACAAAAAAACUUCAAUGCCAUUCUUCAUGUUUUCUCUUUUUUCUUGCCUCCACUGGCUGCACUGACAAAAUACAGUGGGGAACUCUGAGGCUUUAGUGGGUGGAUGGCAGUGGCACUACAUGUGUCCUUGAAUAAAUGCAGAGAGCUGAGCCCUCCCCUCCACCCUGACCCUAAUCCAUAUGCUCUAAAUUGAACUAAUGCGUGAUGAAAAAAGUAGCACUUUUUAACAUGGAAGCUCCUAAGAUUUCAUUGUGUGUUUAUUAUAUAAUAGCUCACAUCCCAGUCUAAAAUCUGUAAGUGUUCUAUAAAUUCUCCAGUAAUGAGAAAUUUGAUACGAUGCUUAGGACAAUGCUGCAUAUUAUUAUUUUGUUGUUUUGUUCUGGGUUUUUUGUUGUGAGACAGGGUUUUGCUCUGCCGCCCAGGCUGGGGUGCAGUGGCACGAUGAGAGCUCACUGCAACUACCUCCUGGGCUCAAGCCAUCCUCCCCCGCCUCAGCCCCCAGAGUAGCUGGGACUACAGGGGCGCACUACCACGCUGGGCUAAUUUUUUAAAUUUAUAGUAGAGACGGGGUUCUUCCAUGUUGCCCAGGUUGGUCUUGAACUCAUGAGCUCAAGUGAUGCCCCCGCCUCGGCCUCCCAAACUGCUGUGAUUACAGCUGAGAGCCAUCAUGCCCAGCCAUAUUUAUAACGUGUUGUUAAUUUUAGUGCUUAAUAUGACUAGUUCUAUGGUGUGAUCAUAAUUUUUCUUAAUAUUUGUGUUGUAUUUGUAAAAUUCUAGGUUAAAAGUGUUUUCUUAUAUAGUUUAGGAAGAAUAUUUAAAUGAUGUAAGUCCAGCUGAGAACUGUGAUCAGAAUUCUGGAGGUUGGAGUGGGCAGAGCAGCUAAAUAGCAGGUUACUUGCCAGCUGGUUACAUUACUAUAUUAGAUUAAGCCACCUAAAGACAGUUACUAUUCUUUAAGGUAUUUUUGUAGCUUAUGUCAUUAUGUGUGUUGCUGAUUUGAUCAUUAAUUCUUCAAUUACUGGAGAUUUGAUAUGUAAAAAUAUGUUUAUUAUAAGACCUUAAAUAAUAUUCCAUAAUAUCUUUUUGUGUAUCUUGGUAUUGGAGUUCAUUUGUUUGCUUUGUACAAUGUAAAAUCUUCAAUAAAUCUUAAGGUGAAGGCUGUUUUA